GGAAGGUUGGCCGAGCGGCAAGGCACCGGUCUUGAAAACCGGCGAGCCCGAAAGGGUGCACGGGUUCGAAUCCCGUACCUUCCU
rnacentral:tRNA from 2 species